UACGUAGGGUGCGAGCGUUGUCCGGAAUUACUGGGCGUAAAGAGCUCGUAGGUGGUUUGUCGCGUUGUUCGUGAAAACUCACAACUCAAUUGUGGGCGUGCGGGCGAUACGGGCAGACUGGAGUACUGCAGGGGAGACUGGAAUUCCUGGUGUAGCGGUGGAAUGCGCAGAUAUCAGGAGGAACACCGAUGGCGAAGGCAGGUCUCUGGGCCAUAACUGACGCUGAGAAGCGAAAGCAUGGGGAGCGAACAGG
rnacentral:rRNA from 1 species